ensembl:snRNA U6 U6 spliceosomal RNA
GUGCUUGCUUAGGCAGCACAUAUAUUAAAACUGGAACGAUGCAGAGAUUAGCAUGGCCCCUGAGCAAGGAUGAAACGCAAAUUCGUGAAGUGUUCCAUAUUUUU